CGGGGGCUGCGGCUCAAGGAAGCGCCGCUGCCUUGUGGCGUCCGCGACCCCCCGACCCCCGAUCCCUCUCGGCAGCGCUCAGAGGCCCGCGCCCCGCAGGCUGCCUGCGAAGGGAGCACGGAGUGAAGCUCUCCGAGAAUAAGGCAAGGAUGAUAACUUCUGUGCAGUUUGGAGUAAUAGGACAGGAUUGGAAUGCACCUUGAACCGUGUAUGACUACAUGUCUGAUAGUACAUUCAAAGUAUACCUUCAGUAAAGAAAACAAGAGCCCAGGUUAAAACAAGUAGUAGAACUCAACUCUUCAAACAGUACAAAGCUACAAGCAAAAGUAAAAUAUUACUUCAUCACAGUAACAAUGCCAAGUACUUCUCUUCAUAAGGACUGUCUCAGUAGCACACGAAUCCAGACAACACAAUCAGCACAAAGGAGACAGUGAAGCUGGGCUGUGUUCCAGAGCAUCUACCCACCUUUUUCAUAUUCCCACCGAGCAGUGAGUAAGGAGGUUUGUUGACAUGGUUCCAGUCAACCGGCACACGAGUCAUAUCAUACAAUUGGAAGAUGAUUAAAGCAUCAGAAAGGUCACUAAACCAGAGGAAAACAACGUUUUAAAGCACAAAAGCUCAUACUGGUAAUGAAACAAAGAAGCACACUUAAGAAAAUAUUUUGCCUGAAUAUGUGAGCUUGGAAUAACCUCAUCACUUCAUUCCUACAGUUAAGAAAACAGAGAGGACACUGAGGAGGGAGAAAACCUCCCCAAACAAUGAAAGAACAGAUUUCUCUGGACUGAAGCACAAAUACCUAAGAGCAUAUCUUCUGCUGAGUGGUGCAGCAGAUAGCCAAAAUCAUUGGAAAACUGCAGAAAGGGGGCAGAGCUACACAAAAGAGAGAGGAGCAAAUUUGGUACUCUGUUGGGAACAAUUUGUGCUGCCACCUUCACUUACACUUGGCUCCCAAGACCACAUGGCAAGAAUGUUCAGCAUAAAGAAGAAAGUGCUUUUCAGUGAACAGGAGCAGGACAGACAAUUCUUACAGCAGAAGUGUGAAAACACACAGGCAGGAAAUGGAGAAAAAGAAGGAAUGCAGAUGGUG